rnacentral:rRNA from 1 species
GUCUACGGCCAUACCACCUUGAACACGCCCGAUCUUGUCUGAUCUCAGAAGCUAAGAAAGUAUUGUUCCCACACCAAGUGAGAAAAAAUACCAGAACCAUAUCACUUAUAAUAAUUGUCUUGUUAUAGACA